rnacentral:rRNA from 1 species
GUUUGAUUCUGGCUCAGAACGAACGCUGGCAGCGUGGAUUAGGCAUGCAAGUCGAACGGGAAGCUGUUGAUUCAAUCUUCGGAGAGAAACAGCGGUGGAGAGUGGCGAAAGGGUGAGUAACGCGUGGGUAAUCUACCCUCAAGAUGGGGAUAACUCCGCGAAAUCGGGGCUAAUACCGAAUGUGGUUAUUCGUCGCAUGACGAAUGGACUAAAGGCGGGGACCUUCGGGCCUGCCGUUUGAGGAGGAGCCCGCGUCCCAUCAGCUUGUUGGUGAGGUAACGGCUCACCAAGGCUUACGGGUAGCCGGCCUGAGAGGGUGAUCGGCCACACUGGGACUGAGACACUGCCCAGACUCCUACGGGAGGCUGCAGUCGAGGAUCAUUCACAAUGCGCGAAAGCGUGAUGAUGCGACGCUGCGUGGAGGAUGACGGCCUUCGGGUUGUAAACUCCUGUCAUGCGGGAAAAACGGUCCCGUGCCGAAUAAGCACGGGAUGUGAUGGUACCGCAAGAGGAAGCCACGGCUAACUCUGUGCCAGCAGCCGCGGUAAUACAGAGGUGGCAAGCGUUGUUCGGAUUUACUGGGCGUAAAGGGUGCGUAGGUGGUUACGUGUGUCGGAUGUGAAAGGCCGCCGCUCAACGGCGGGAUUGCAUUCGAAACUGCGAAACUAGAGGCCAGGAGGGGAGAGCGGAAUUCUUGGUGUAGCGGUGAUAUGCGUUGAUAUCAAGAGGAACACCGGUGGCGAAGGCGGCUCUCUGGAAUGGUUCUGACACUGAGGCACGAAAGCUGGGGGAGCAAACAGGAUUAGAUACCCUGGUAGCCCCAGCCGUAAACGGUGUGCACUUGGUGUGGGCGGUAUUGACCCCGCCCGUGCCGGAGCUAACGCGUUAAGUGCACCGCCUGGGGAGUACGGCCGCAAGGCUAAAACUCAAAGAAAUUGACGGGGGCCCGCACAAGCGGAGGAGCAUGUGGCUUAAUUCGAUGCAACGCGAAGAACCUUACCAGGGCUUGACAUGUAGCUGCACGCUCCCUGAAAGGGGAGAAGCCUUCGAGGGUGCUACACAGGUGCUGCAUGGCUGUCGUCAGUUCGUGCCGUGAGGUGUUGGGUUAAGUCCCGCAACGAACGCAACCCCUGUGUCUAGUUGCCACCGCAGGUGAUGAGCCUGCGAGCACUCUAGGCAGACUGCCUGUACAAACGGGAGGAAGGUGGGGACGACGUCAAGUCCGUAUGGCCCUUACGCCCUGGGCUGCACACGUGCUACAAUGGUCGGUACAGAAGGAUGCAAGACCGCGAGGUGGAGCAAAUCCGAAAAGCCGGCCUCAGUUCGGAUUGGAGUCUGCAACUCGACUCCAUGAAGUUGGAUUCGCUAGUAAUGGCGCAUCAGCUACGGCGCCGUGAAUACGUUCCCGGGCCUUGUACACACCGCCCGUCACAUCAUGAAAGCCGUCUGCACCCGAAGUUGCCGAGCCAACCCUCACGGGAGGCAGGUACCGAAGGUGUGGGUGGUGAUUGGGAUGAAGUCGUAACAAGGUA